rnacentral:misc_RNA from 1 species
AAGUCGUAACAAGGUUUCCGUAGGUGAACCUGCGGAAGGAUCAUUAACACGUAUCCACGUAUCAACCCCUGUGCACCUGUACGUGUCUGGAUAUUUUUUUAAUCUAUUCUGCGUGAAUGGAUGAUCAAAGUUCCAGGCAUUUUAAACCAUAUCCUAUUACCCCAAUUGACUAAAAUAGAAGUUGGUAUGUUCACACGUACUCGACUUCGAUAUACGAAAUGUUAACAACUCUUAGCAACGGAUAUCUUGGUUCUC